rnacentral:rRNA from 1 species
UACGGAGGAUGCAAGCGUUAUCCGGAAUGAUUGGGCGUAAAGCGUCCGCAGGUGGCUGUGUAAGUCUGCUGUUAAAGCGUCAUGCUCAACAUGAUAAGAGCAGUGGAAACUACACGGCUAGAGUGCGUUCGGGGCAGAGGGAAUUCCUGGUGUAGCGGUGAAAUGCGUAGAGAUCAGGAAGAACACCGGUGGCGAAAGCGCUCUGCUAGGCCGCAACUGACACUGAGGGACGAAAGCUAGGGGAGCGAAUGGG